GUCGGGCUCAUAACCCGAAGGUCGUAGGUUCAAAUCCUACCCCCGCAACCA
rnacentral:tRNA from 1 species